rnacentral:rRNA from 1 species
UACGUAGGGUGCGAGCGUUGUCCGGAAUUACUGGGCGUAAAGAGCUCGUAGGUGGUUUGUCGCGUUGUUCGUGAAAACUCACAGCUCAACUGUGGGCGUGCGGGCGAUACGGGCAGACUGGAGUACUGCAGGGGAGACUGGAAUUCCUGGUGUAGCGGUGGAAUGCGCAGAUAUCAGGAGGAACACCGGUGGCGAAGGCGGCAUCCUGGACCGAAACUGACGCUGAUGCGCGAAAGCCAGGGGAGCAAACGGG